AGCAGGUUGGCGCAUUGGAAGCGUGCUGGGCGCAUAACCCAGAGGUCAAUGGAUCGAAACCAUUUCCUGCUA
rnacentral:tRNA from 1 species